CCGCUGCAAGACCAUGGACCAGUGACCGGCCGUGUGGUGUGCAGGCCCCUUACGUGUACCAGGGGGAGGCGGGCGGUGCCGAGUCCAGGUUCGCAGGCCCCCGAGUGAGGACACGUGUGAGAACAGCCCUGUGCUGACUUCCAGCUUGCCUGCUAAGGUAUGGAAAACUGCAAAUCUGGGGUCCUGUGAAUAAAACCUUCCCAGAUCUUUGAGAAACCUUCACUUACAGAGAUGGCCUUCACACGGUGGAGAUACACAGCAUCUUUCCGUGUGGCUGACGGACGUCACUGAACACAGUCUUCGGGUUCCCCGUGUUGCAGCAGGUGAGUCUCCUCCAUUCAGCAAGGAGAGGAGGAGCUUGAGGAGCCCCCUUUGGGCUGGACGGUGAUGCUGCUUGUCUUCCUGAUGGGGUGUCUGCCCACGGCUCCCGGCGUUGUGCGAGCCGGUGAUCUGAUCCCGCCCCCCCCCGAGGUCAGCGCUCUUCCCAUAGCUCAGUCUCACAGACCCGGA